GAUUUGUGUGUAGAGAUCACAAACGCAACUUCAGGGACCAAACAUGUACAGUGUAUAGGCCGAACUGUAACUUUAUAAGAAAGUAGAAAGUAAUGGGCUAUGUUGGGAGCUAAACAGUGCAUGUCUUGUCUAAGGAAUUCAAAGCUUUUAAAAACACUCUUGUAGGCUUACAAAACCUAUGUUUGGAGGCAGGAUUUAUCUUGACCACUAUUUCAACACCUCUAAAUAGGAAUAGGACUUACAUAGAAAAAAACUCGAAAUGAUCUCCUACCCCUUCAAUUCCAGGCUCGACCUUUAGAAUGAAAUUUCUCAUCUUGGCUGGCCUUUUGAGCACUGCCACUGCUCUGCCCAUCCCCGUGAGUACACCCUCCUCAGCUGCUGACUCAAUUUCAGAUUUAGAGUCAUCGCAUUUCUCGGCUAGAAAGCAGGUCUUAUCUUUUCAUUUCACAAAAGAGGAAAGCGGAACCCAGGAAAGUCAUAGAACUAGGAGUUCACCACUCUUUGUCAGUCCAAGACUCUGCCCAGUACAAAUCUCAGCUCCAUAUGCCAUGUGCUAGCUGUGUGACUUUGAACUAACCCAUGGUUUCCUUGUCUAUAAAAUGAGUCCUAGGAACACCUCAGAGUUGCACGGAGAUGAUUUUUUUAAUGCAUCUAAGGCAGAGAAGGGUCCUAUUUGAAAGAUAGGAUGUUCUCAAUAAACUCAGUGAUAUAGAACAAAUAUUCUGCAGUGACCCAGGUCUAAAUUAAGCAGUUUGAAUUGAGUUUCAUUUGUAAUGCCCUUGCCCCAAACCAUCUCAUGUUUUCUUAAAAGGCUGUUACAUGGAAAUGCUCUGACACCAAAGGACUAUCUACCUCAUUGUAGAUUUGAUUUUAAAGAAGGAAAUAUUUAAGAUAACUUACAUUGAUUACUAAAUUAUGAAUAUAAAAACAACUUAUGCCUGAAUUAUAUUUGAGUGAUCAUACAGACACACCUUUAAAGUCCAAUUUUUGAAAACCAGAUUUGGAUAAAAAGCUACAUUCAUCUAUAGUGCCCUUGAUAACAAACCUAAUUUGUUUCUUUAGACCACAAUCCUUUUUGCCAAAGCUGGCAAGUAUCGUGGUCUAAAAUUCCAAACAAUUUGUAUUGCCUGUUUCUUUAGGCUGAUGGGAAUGCUGCAGUAUACAUAUUUCAUUAAUUCUAAUAUGUACUUUUUGAUAUUUCAGCAGCUCUGAAAUUGAGCUGUGUCUUAAAAACACAAUUUGAUAAAGUGUCACGGCAGCUUAACAGCAGCGCUUUUCUUUUUUGGUAAUUUAUGAAAUAAUGGUGCUUUUGACAAUGAUAGCAUCUAAGAAUAUAUGAAAUACUGUAAUCCCAGAACAUCAUUAACUUCACCUAUAUAGACAUUUUGUCAUCAACUGACUAUAUACAAAUGAGAUCCACUGAGUCUAAUCUGGGUUUACUAGUCUGAAUAUGAGGGCACCAAGUAGGCAAGAAACUCUCUCCCCUGCACACUUUGUAUCAAAGGAGCUUUUGAAGAAGUGAGGGAGCUUUCAAAAUUUGUGUUUGGGGUGCAGAACUUAAGUGUACAUUUCCACACUCCCUUCACUUUGAGUUUAUAACUACUGAGAACUAAAUCAAGAACACCAUUCAAAGAUUUACAAAAGGAAAUAUUCAUGUAAUAUGGAAUUAAUCUUAAGAAAUGUAAAUAAAAGCAUUCUUUGGAUAUAAAUUUAAAAGCAAAAAGCCUUGGUCUUCCAAAUCAUUGCACAAAAUUAAUUAAACUUUUCCCUAUUAGAUAUCCAACUGCUUUUUAUUUCAGAAGUGAAGUUACAUUACUGAUGGGUAUAAUGCUCCAUAGUGGCUUAUUACUUAUUCUCCUUUAGAACAAAACCUCUCUUUAGUGGAUAAUGUAUUUCCAUAUGCUGCUUUACCUUGUUGCUGUUAUUGUUUUGCAAGCUCGAACAAUAUGCUGAAAGUUCCAGUGAACAGGUGAACUUCUAAUUGUAUUUUUAAAUAAUGCAUUCAUCAUUUUAAAAGUCUGCCAUUGUCUGAAAUGACUGACAUCAUGUUUCUUUUUACAGAGAUUUAUCUUUUACCCACCACAAGUACCACCAUUUUUCCCUCAGGUCCUCUUUCCCCUACCUCCGCAACCGCCCCUGGUCCUCACACCUAAUGAUCUUAUCGCGUUACUCAUUGCUAUUUUGAACCAACUAGGGAUUUUAUUUCCAUGACUAAAUUGAUAAAGAAAUAAUUCUCCCACUACUAUGCCAGAAGUUACGUAUGGUUAGUAAAAUCUCCAAAUUCUUUCAUGCAUUUAUAUCCUUUUCAAUAUUUUUAUCAUGAGUUUAAUUGCCUCUGAUUGUGUCCACAACGGUAAAUUAAUAAUAUGAUGAAAAUAGGUGUAAACAAGACCAAUUAAUUACAAAUGCUUUCUUCAAAGGAUGUAUUUUAAAGUCAGUUUAUUAAAACUCCAGAAAUAUUUUAGAAAAUAACCACCACCAGAAGUCCUAAGCAUAAGAAAACAUACUGUUAAAUAAGAAUAGCCUCUCGAAGUGCUCAGAAUUUUCAAGUUCCCCCUUUAGCCACCAAAUAUUUAAAGUAGUUAUGAUCCUAAGGAAACUUUGCAUAUCCUUCUAUUUGAGUUUGAAAUGCUUUCAAAAGCUCAAGAACACCUGCUGACAAAACAAACACUGACUGUGG
rnacentral:lncRNA from 1 species